UUUAAAUAUAGCCUGCACAAUACAUUCAACAAAGUCAAUUUGUGUUUAUUUGGGAAAACAAAAGUAGCCUUAGAUAUAAAGUAGAAAAGAUGGUGUCUUGGUACACAAGGCUUCAUCAAGGUAGGGCCAGAAACGUGCAACCUUCUUGUGCAUUACAAGAAAGCUGUUUCUAAAGUUUGAACAUGCAACUCCUUAAUGGCCAACCUUAUCAUUACAGCAAGGUUCACCAAACCCAAAUGAAGAAAUACAAAUAAAAAAGGCAAGAACUAAGAAGGAAAGAUGCCAAUAAGUACUGUUGGCCCUAUCUGAUCAUCUAUGGCCUAGAAGCAAAAGAACUAUGACACCAACAUCAACAAAAGCAUGAAAUACAUAUAACUUUAUCCUCAUGCGUGCACUAGAGAGAGAGAGAGAGAGAG
rnacentral:misc_RNA from 1 species